CCCUAGUACGGCGAGUGAAGCGGGAAAAGCUCAAAUUUGAAAUCUGGUGGCCUCAGGCCAUCCGAGUUGUAAUCUAUAGAAACGUUUUCCGCGCCGGCCCAUGUACAAGUCCCUUGGAACAGGGCGUCAUAGAGGGUGAGAAUCCCGUCCUUGACACGGACCACCGGUGCUUUGUGAUACGUUUUCAACGAGUCGAGUUGUUUGGGAAUGCAGCUCAAAAUGGGUGGUAAAUUCCAUCUAAAGCUAAAUAUUGGCGAGAGACCGAUAGCGAACAAGUACCGUGAGGGAAAGAUGAAAAGCACUUUGGAAAGAGAGUUAAACAGUAUGUGAAAUUGUUGAAAGGGAAACGAUUGAAGUCAGUCGUGUCUAUUGGACUCAGCCGGUUCUGCCGGUGUACUUCCUUUAGAUGGGGUCAACAUCAGUUUUGAUCGCUGGAAAAGGGCGGGAGGAAUGUAGCACUCUCGGGUGAACUUAUAGCCUUCCGUCGUAUACAGUGGUUGGGACUGAGGAACGCAGCAUGCCUUUAUGGCCGGGGUUCGCCCACGUACAUGCUUAGGAUGUUGACAUAAUGGCUUCAAACGACCCGUCU
rnacentral:rRNA from 1 species